rnacentral:rRNA from 1 species
CUACGGGGGGUGCAAGCGUUGUCCGGAAUCACUGGGCGUAAAGGGUGGGUAGGCGGAUCGGUAAGUCCGGCGUGCAAGGUGUCUGCUUAACAGGCAAUUUGCGUCGGAUACUGCCAAUCUUGAGUCACGUAGAGGAAGGUGGAAUUCCUGGUGUAGCGGUGAAAUGUGUAGAUAUCAGGAAGAACACCGGUAGCGAAGGCGGCCUUCUGGACGUCGACUGACGCUGAGCCACGAAAGCGUGGGGAGCAAACAGGAUUAGAAACCCGAGUAGUCC